CUGGGUGAUGACUCCAAGGCGAAUGCGACCUCCGUGCCUACUGCUCCUGGCUCCCAGGAGGGUGGGGGGAGGCCAGAGGGAUUGCAGGAAUGGGGGUCUGGAGUCUUGGUGGGGGUGCCGGAGGCCUGGGCCCCUGCUGUAAAACCAGACCAACAGAAUUGCUCAGGCCCCUUGGCUCCCAGUGGCUGCCUCCAGCCCUGGCAGCUAUACCGAGCAGGGGCCCACAGGUGGGGUCAGGGCAAAAGCAGAGGCACUGGCUGCGUCUGAGCGCAAACCCCUAGAUCUGACA